rnacentral:rRNA from 1 species
GACGAACGCUGGCGGCGUGCUUAACACAUGCAAGUCGAGCGGUAAGGCCCUUUCGGGGGUACACGAGCGGCGAACGGGUGAGUAACACGUGGGUGACCUGCCCUCCAGCUCUGGGAUAACGCCCGGGAAACUGGGUCUAAUACCGGAUAUGACUUCAUGACGCAUGUUGUGGAGUGGAAAGCCUUGUGCGGCUGAGGAUCGGGCCCGCGGCCUAUCAGCUUGUUGGUGGGGUGANGGCCUACCAAGGCGACGACGGGUAGCCGGCCUGAGAGGGCGACCGGCCACACUGGGACUGAGACACGGCCCAGACUCCUACGGGAGGCAGCAGUGGGGAAUCUUGCGCAAUGGGCGAAAGCCUGACGCAGCGACGCCGCGUGAGGGAUGAC